UGGGGAAUAUUGGACAAUGGGGGCAACCCUGAUCCAGCAAUGCCACGUGUGCGAAGAAGGCCUUCGGGUUGUAAAGCACUUUAGUAGGGGAGCAAGAUUAUGGCGCUAAUAUCGCCGUAGUUUGAGAGUACCCUAAGAAUAAGCACCGGCAAACUCUGUGCCAGCAGCCGCGGUAAUACAGAGGGUGCAAGCGUUAAUCGGAAUUACUGGGCGUAAAGGGCUUGUAGGCGGCCAUAUAAGUUAGAUGUGAAAACCCUGGGCUUAACCUGGGACGUGCAUUUAAUACUGUAUGGCUAGAGUAUAGUAGAGGAAAGGGGAAUUUCCGGUGUAGCAGUGAAAUGCGUAGAUAUCGGAAGGAACAUCAGUGGCGAAGGCGCCUUUCUGGACUAAUACUGACGCU
rnacentral:rRNA from 1 species